rnacentral:rRNA from 1 species
UACGUAGGGUCCGAGCGUUGUUCGGAAUUACUGGGCGUAAAGGGCGCGUAGGCGGCUUGGCAAGUCAAAGGUGAAAUCCCUCGGCCUAACCGAGGAACUGCCUUUGAAACUGCUUGGCUUGAGGCCGGGAGAGGGUAGCGGAAUUCCCAGUGUAGCGGUGAAAUGCGUAGAUAUUGGGAGGAACACCAGUGGCGAAGGCGGCUACCUGGACCGGUUCUGACGCUGAGGCGCGAAAGCGUGGGGAGCAAACAGG